rnacentral:rRNA from 1 species
AUUGAACGCUGGCGGCAGGCCUAACACAUGCAAGUCGAGCGAGCGGCGGACGGGUGCGUAAUGUCUGGGAAACUGCCUGAUGGAUGGGGAUAACUACUGGAAACGGUAUCUAAUACCCCAUACCAUCAGAUUUGCCCAGAUGGGAUUAGCUAGUAGGUUGGGUAAUGGCUCACCUAGGCGCCGCUCCCUAGCGGAUCUGCGAGGAUGACCAGCCAAACUGGAACGGAGAAACGUUCCAGACUCAUAGGGGAGUGAGCAGUGGGGAAGAUUGAGCAAUGGGCGAAAGCCUGAGGGAGACAUGCCGAGGGUGUGAAGAAGGUCUUCGGGUUGUAAAGAACUUUCGGCGGGGAGGCGUUACCAAAAGAAGAAGUAACGGCUAACUACGUGCCAGCAGCCGCGGUAAUAC